GGAGUUCUACUCACUAUCAGUCAACGCUUACUUCUGCAGAGAAGAUGAGGAACUUCCGGAUUCUUCUACUUGUUGCCGCCAUGGGACUGCUGCUACUUGCCGCUAUACCAGCACAGCAGCACUUCUUACCAAUCAACGGAAUAGGGAUUUCAAGCAAAUAAACUUGG